rnacentral:rRNA from 1 species
UACGGAGGGAGCUAGCGUUGUUCGGAAUUACUGGGCGUAAAGCGCACGUAGGCGGCUUUGUAAGUUAGAGGUGAAAGCCCGGGGCUCAACUCCGGAACUGCCUUUAAGACUGCAUCGCUUGAAUCCAGGAGAGGUGAGUGGAAUUCCGAGUGUAGAGGUGAAAUUCGUAGAUAUUCGGAAGAACACCAGUGGCGAAGGCGGAUCACUGGACUGGUAAUGACUCUGAGGUGCGCAAGCGUGGGGAGCAAACAGG